rnacentral:rRNA from 1 species
GAUGAACGCUGGCGGCGUGCCUAAUACAUGCAAGUCGAGCGAAUGGAUUGAGAGCUUGCUCUUAUGAAGUUAGCGGCGGACGGGUGAGUAACACGUGGGUAACCUGCCCAUAAGACUGGGAUAACUCCGGGAAACCGGGGCUAAUACCGGAUAACAUUUUGGACCGCAUGGUUCGAAAUUGAAAGGCGGCUUCGGCUGUCACUUAUGGAUGGACCCGGGUCGCAUUAGCUAGUUGGUGAGGUAACGGCUCACCAAGGCAACGAUGCUUAGCCGACCGGAGAGGGUGAUCGGCGACACUGGGACUGAGACACGGCCCAGACUCCUACGGGAGGCAGCAGUAGGGAAUCUUCCGCAAUGGACGAAAGUCUGACGGAGCAACGCCGCGUGAGUGAUGAAGGCUUUCGGGUCGUAAAACUCUGUUGUUAGGGAAGAACAAGUGCUAGUUGAAUAAGCUGGCACCUUGACGGUACCUAACCAGAAAGCCACGGCUAACUACGUGCCAGCAGCCGCCGUAA